GUAGGAGACAAACUAUUACAAUUGCUUUUUAACUCGAGAAGAAUAAUUGGAACGAACAUACAAUUUACCCAAACCGUACAUAUUCUUGUGGGGGUUAUGCUUACAGAUUCUUUCCUGAUAAAGCUGCAUCAUUGGCACUAGAAAUUGCCAGUUAUCUUGUUCAAGUUAGUCCAGAAUCGAAUCUACCUUAUCUAGCUCUUCUACACAGAACCAUGGAAUUAAAAUGUGGCUCAACAUUAACAUAAUCAUAAGCUUCGUUGAAAUAUCUGAUUACAUAAGUUCGACGGGCUGCUACAACUACACGAGUCACCUAAACAUAAACAUAAAAAUCAGUUCCGCAUUUGCUUUUCCUUGACAAUAUCUUCCAAUUUCCUUUCCGGAUAGUUAUGUUGAAUGAUAUCUCCACAUCCCCUUCUUCUAUCUUUAAUUCGGCAACACUUUUCAACAGGUCAUCAAUUGGUGCUUUAGCUUUAUUUGGAGACAUCCCCAACGGUGCUUGAUUGCAUUCCAUCACAAUAAUUACUAGGCUGUCCUUCAAAUGGCAAGAGUUUCUUCUUCGAGGACUUCCCGUCAUUCCGGUCAAAAUAACCGCAAUCUUUUGUACAACACAAGAAUAUUCAGCUUAUGUUGUGCGUAUUCUUCUCAACCUCCAUCAUUUUUACAAUUCCUUGUAAACAGUUCAGAUUUUUUUUUUUUUGGGGACAUUCAUACAGUUGGUGCCAAGGUUGUCAACAACUAUGGCAGAUACCCCUAUUCUUCCCGGACGUUGAUUAAUACAACCGCAAGUUAUGACGAAUUUCUUUAUUAGGUAGCAAACAAUUUGGAGACAUAAUCUAAGUUGAUAAACACUAUCUUCAGUGAAUAGUCGGUCGAUUUCCACCUGUAUCGAAAUCACACCUAAGCCCCAGCUUGCUUAAUAGCAUUAUCAAAACACAUCAAUUAAUACGAUUAUAUGAUACAUUACAUUCAAAUGAAGUAGCAUAACCUAAGUUCAUAUAAAUAUAUGUUGCUAACUUAGGGUUCAUUACCCCCAAUAGUCACUGAAUCAAGAGAUUAACUGAACAACCCCAAACUUUGAUAAUAAUCAUUGAUAGUGUAUUUUUACUUUCAAAAUGAAUUAUAUUUUUCAAGUAUAAGUUGAAAAAAGAUUAAAACGUAAAAAUCACGUUACCUAUUUUUGAUAGUUAUAAAUAUGAGGUCAGCAGCUAAUGCUUUAAUUAUGUAAGAUGUCGUGGCUAUUCUUUCCGAAUAGGUUGUGUAUCUUCACGAUUUGCGAGUGAAUGAGAUGUCUUAUAAACUUAAUUCACAUAUUUAAUUGAGUUUAGUGGAUAAAAACUGAUUUAAUUGUAUCCUCCUCAAACAAUAAUGUACUCCUUCAAACAACACAAGUUUCAUUAGGUAACUUAGGCUAUGCAGUAUUUAGUCGUGUUUAUUACUGUGUACGAGCUAUUAACUUCCAGGAUUUAAUUUUGAUAUAUAUCUUUUACAAUGAAGUUUUGAGAUGAUUUGUGAAUUAUUAUAAACAUAUUUCAUAAUUUUAUUUAUACCAAAUUGUUAUAUGGUUCACGCAUCAAAAUACACCAAGCUGGAAAACACAUUGCCUUACAUAUGUAAAACACCCUAGUUAUUUCAUUGCUUGCUUGUGAAAUUUGAACCAUUUGCAUUUUUAGUAACUAAAUAUGGUAACAAAUCAAAAUGGUGAGAAUCAUGGUAUUACCCAAUUGCAAAUACAAAUACUUCCCAAUAUCCUUCUGAAAGUAACAUUCAAAACAUCAAUGUCUUUUAUAUAGUUAAAAUUGAACACUAGAAUUUGCAACGCUUCCUUUAUCCGCACCCCUUGUAAACCGUAACAAAAACAUUUUGGUAAUAUAUAUAUAUAUAUAUAUAUAUAUAUAUAAACAAAGUUAAUAUUGUCAUACCAUCUUAUUAUCAGACAUGUGACUACUUUUCCUUUGUUCAAUUUUGGUAAAUCCUAACCAAAAUAUAUGGAUAUAACUAAAAAAAAAAUGGUUAGUUUGUAUAUUAAUAAAUAAAGAAUUAAAGAAAACGGUUAAUGAGGAGAACACCUUUAAUAUUAGUAACACCAUGAUCUAAUUUCCAAGAACUGGCUUUAGCACGUGGAACACUUGCAUGAACAACUUUAUUUUUGUGUCUUAUUGAAUUUUCUAACCUCGCAAAGCCCCAAAAGUCGUUUCUAUACGUUGCUAUUAAUCAAAUAAAUUCAAGGUGUUUAUCUCGGUAAAAAUCUUAUCUGGAAAAUGAUAUUAAGAAAAAUAGACAACAUUUUUAUUAACCACAAUUUUUUUCCAACUAAAAAUGAUGCAGUAAAUAUGUGUAUACCUGAUAAGGUAUCCGGUGUAUGGCUAAAUAUCAGGAACUGUGAUCGAAAGGGUAUGUUCAAAAUUUUUAUUCUAAGCAAGUCAAUCCUCUCUAAAUCUGACAUAACCAUUGGAAACAUUGCAACCAGAGCCUCAAUGGUAAGUAUCUAGUCCAGGUUAUCCACGUUCAAAUUUAGAUCCAUUGUCAUAUUACCUACAGUCGGUUGAUGGUUUAUAUUGUGAUAAUGAUCGAUAAGGUCCAAUGUUAAUCCACUUAAUACUGAACUUUCAAAAGCAUAAACAAAACUUUGAUAGCCAGGGGGCGGAGGAAGAAACUGAUGAUUUGCCUGUGGAACUUGAAGUAAAGAAUCUUCAGUAGUAUCAAUUGAUCUUAUCAAGAAUUGUUUGAGCAAGAAACAACAUGUUGUUUUGUGUUCCAAAUCCCCUUGGAUUCCAAACAUGUAAAAAUAUAUUUUUCAUAAUAAUUAAGUAUCUCCUCAUCCUUAUUUUUCUUUUGGCCGAAAGGGGAAGAAAAGAAAUGGAGAGGAGUGAAAGGCGUGUCUGCUUGGCUGAAAGGGCGAAGAAGGAAGAAGAGAAAUGGAGAGAAGAGUGAGAGGCGUGUCUGCUUUUGGGAAGAAACACUCCAUCCCCUUAUAUAGGAAUAAACUUACACAUACAGAAAGUAUUUCACAUGUAAAAAAAGUGCAUCAACAUGGAUCAAAUAAUCAAUUGGGGUGUACAUUGAGAGAUGGAUAAAAUUGCUUCUUACCCUUAUUUUUAUUAUAUGUAUAUUCUUCCAUCCUCCAGUCAGUAGGCUUGCUACAUCUCUUAAAGAAUUAUCUCAACUUUCCUUUAGUCCCUUUAAUCGAAGGUGAAUGUGGUCUAUUUAGAACAUCUUCGAUAUUAGUAACACCAUGAUCUAAUUUCCAAGAACCGGCUUUAGCAAGCGAAACACCUGCAUAAACAACUCUAUUUUUACGACUUAUUGAAGUUUUUAACCACGCAAAGCCCCAAAAGUCGUUUCCAUACGUUACUGUUAAUCAAAUAAAUACGAGAUAUUUAUCUCAGUGAAAUUAUCAUCCGAAAAACGAUUUUAAGAAAAUUUGUUAUUUUUGGCUGUUUCGCGCACCAUUAACGACGUGAAAUACUAGGUCGUGAGUACUUCAAAAUGAUAUUAAGAAUGUAAUAUUUCGACUUCCUUUGAUAUCUCGUAUGAGCCCGAAAAUUAAGAUAAAAACAUAAAUAAUUUAAUGAAUUUUAUUAACACUUUCCUCCAAGCCCGCGUCCCACUUUUUGUACAUGUGAAAUACCUUCUGUACGUGUACGUUUAUUCCUAUAUAAGGGGAGGGAUUGUUCCUUCCCAAAAGCAAAUGCCUCUCACUCUUGUCUCCAUUUCUCUUCCUCCUUCCCCCUUUCAGUCAAAUAGACACGCCUCUCACUCAAUUUCUCUUCUUCCCCUUUCAGCCAAAAGAAAAAUAUGGAUGAGAAGAUAUUUAAUUAUUAUGAAAAAUAUAUUUUUACAUGUCUGGAAUCCAAGGGGAUUUGUAACACAAAACAACAUGUUGUUUUUUGCUCAAGCAAUUUUUGAUAAGAUUAAUUGAUCCUACUGAAGAUUUUCCACUUCAAGUUCCACAGGCAAAUCAUCAGUUUCCUCCUCUUUCUCCUCCGCCCCUUGGCUAUUAAAGUUUCUUGAUGCUUUUGAAAGCUCAGUAUUAAGUAGAUUAACAUUGAACCUUAUCGAUCAUUACUACAACAUAAACCCUCAACCGACUGUAGGUAAUAUGACAAUUGAUCCAAAUUUGAACGUGGAUAACUUGGACCAAAUACAUACCAUUGAGGCUCCGAUUGCAAUGCUUUCAAUGGUACAAAAUGUCAGAUUUAGAGAAGAUUGACCUGCUUAGAACAAAAAAAUUGAACAUGCCCUUUCGAUCACAGGUUCUUGAAAUCAAUAUAUUUAACCACACCGAAUACCUUCUCAAGAAUACGCAUAUUUACUGUAUCAUUUUUAGUUGGAAAAAAUUGUGGUUGAUAAAAACGUUGUCUAUUUUUCUUAAAAUCAUUUUCCAAAUAAAAAUUUCACUGAGAUAAACACUUUGAAUUUAUUUGAUUAACAGUAACAUAUUGAAACGAAUUUUGAGGCUUUGCGAGGUUAGAAACUUCAAUAAGACACAAAAAUAGAGUUGUUCAUGCAAGUGUAAUUGUGUUUGAUAAUAAUAUUAUGUGUUUAGAUCAAUGAUUGUAUAGUAUAUGUUAAUCUUUUUUUGGUUAGUUUUCUUAAUUAAUUAUAAGCAAUGAUGUAAUGAUUUUCUUUUAUGUUUAGCAUAUCCCCAAAACGCAUAAUUUCUCCUCCAAAACUAACUUAUCCAGUUGGGGAACGCUUUAGAUAUUUACUUAAAACUGUAGGUCUUUCCGCAGAUCCUUAAGUUGUAAAUGUUUUAGGAGAUUAAAUGAAAAGUUAGUUACUCAUUGCUCGACAAAUUUUAGAUAGUUAUUUGUUUAGAUUAAAAUCAUUCGUGCUAGGAACCUAAAUACAUUAGUUUAAAGUUAAAGUUAUAAAAAAAAAAAAUCAAUUUCUAACUUGCACAAUAGCAAGCAUACUAACAAGCUAUACGAAGUAGAAACAUGUAACCUAGACAAAAGAAUCCCCAAUCCUCAACAAUAUACCACCAAUUAAAUUUGUGAUCUAACAUCCUCC
rnacentral:lncRNA from 1 species